rnacentral:rRNA from 1 species
GACAGAGGGGGCAAGCGUUGCUCGGAAUUACUGGGCGUAAAGCGCGCGCAGGCGGCGGUGUAAGCAUGGCGUGAAAGCCCCUGGCUUAACCAGGGAGGGUCGUCGUGGACUGCACCGCUUGAGGGCGGUAGGGGCUGGUGGAAUGCCUGGUGUAGUGGUGAAAUGCGUAGAGAUCAGGCGGAACACCCGUGGCGAAGGCGGCCAGCUGGGCCGUCCCUGACGCUGAGGCGCGAAGGCGUGGGGAGCGAACGGG